CUACGGGUCGCUGCAGUGAGGAAUAUUGCACAAUGGGGGGAACCCUGAUGCAGCAACGCCGCGUGGAGGAUGACGCAUUUCGGUGUGUAAACUCCUUUUAUAUGUCAAGAAAAUGACGGUAGCAUAUGAAUAAGCACCGGCUAACUCCGUGCCAGCAGCCGCGGUAAUACGGAGGGUGCAAGCGUUACUCGGAAUCACUGGGCGUAAAGGACGCGUAGGCGGGUUGGAAAGUCAGGUGUGAAAUCCUACAGCUUAACUGUAGAACUGCACUUGAAACUUCUAAUCUAUAGUAUGGGAGGGGGAGACGGAAUUAGUGGUGUAGGGGUAAAAUCCGUAGAUAUCACUAGGAAUACCUAAAGCGAAGGCGAUCUCCUGGAACAUUACUGACGCUAAGGCGUGAAAGCGUGGGGAGCAAACAGGAUUAGAUACCCCAGUAGUC
rnacentral:rRNA from 1 species